GAUGAACGCUGGCGGCGUGCUUAACACAUGCAAGUCGAACGAUGAGGCCCAGCUUGCUGGGUGGAUUAGUGGCGAACGGGUGAGUAACACGUGAGUAACCUGCCCUUAACUCUGGGAUAAGCCUGGGAAACUGGGUCUAAUACCGGAUAGGAGCGUCCACCGCAUGGUGGGUGUUGGAAAGAUUUAUCGGUUUUGGAUGGACUCGCGGCCUAUCAGCUUGUUGGUGAGGUAAUGGCUCACCAAGGCGACGACGGGUAGCCGGCCUGAGAGGGUGACCGGCCACACUGGGACUGAGACACGGCCCAGACUCCUACGGGAGGCAGCAGUGGGGAAUAUUGCACAAUGGGCGCAAGCCUGAUGCAGCGACGCCGCGUGAGGGAUGACGGCCUUCGGGUUGUAAACCUCUUUCAGUAGGGAAGAAGCGAAAGUGACGGUACCUGCAGAAGAAGCACCGGCUAACUACGUG
rnacentral:rRNA from 1 species